rnacentral:rRNA from 1 species
GAUGAACGCUGGCGGCGUGCAUAACACAUUCAAGUCGAACGGAGUUACUGGAGAGCUUGCUUGAAGGUAACUUAGUGGCGGACGGGUGAGUAACGCGUGAGCAACCUGCCUUAGCAUGGGGGAUAACGUUUGGAAACGGACGCUAAUACCGCAUAUAGCAUAAGAGCCGCAUGACUCAUAUGCAAAAGAUUUAUUGUGCUAAGAUGGGCUCGCGUCCCAUUAGAUAGUUGGUGAGGUAACGGCCCACCAAGUCGACGAUGGGUAGCCGAACUGAGAGGUUGAACGGCCACAUUGGAACUGAGAUACGGUCCAG